GACGAACGCUGGCGGCGUGCUUAACACAUGCAAGUCGAACGGAAAGGCCCUGCUUUUGUGGGGUGCUCGAGUGGCGAACGGGUGAGUAACACGUGAGUAACCUGCCCUUGACUUUGGGAUAACUUCAGGAAACUGGGGCUAAUACCGGAUAGGAGCUCCUGCUGCAUGGUGGGGGUUGGAAAGUUUCGGCGGUUGGGGAUGGACUCGCGGCUUAUCAGCUUGUUGGUGGGGUAGCGGCUUACCAAGGCUUUGACGGGUAGCCGGCCUGAGAGGGUGACCGGCCACAUUGGGACUGAGAUGCGGCCCAGACUCCUACGGGAGGCAGCAGUGGGGAAUAUUGCACAAUGGGCGGAAGCCUGAUGCAGCAACGCCGCGUGCGGGAUGACGGCCUUCGGGUUGUAAACCGCUUUCGCCUGUGACGAAGCGUGAGUGACGGUAAUGGGUAAAGAAGCACCGGCUAACUACGUG
rnacentral:rRNA from 1 species